GCCAGACUCCUACGGGAGGCAGCAGUGGGGAAUAUUGCACAAUGGGGGAAACCCUGAUGCAGCGACGCCGCGUGAAGGAUGAAGUAUUUCGGUAUGUAAACUUCUAUCAGCAGGGAAGAAAAUGACGGUACCUGACUAAGAAGCCCCGGCUAACUACGUGCCAGCAGCCGCGGUAAUACGUAUGGAGCAAGCGUUAUCCGGAUUUACUGGGUGUAAAGGGAGCGCAGGCGGCCUUGCAAGUCUGAUGUGAAAGGCCGGGGCCCAACCCCGGGACUGCUCUUGGAACUGCGUGGCUGGAGUGCAGGAGGGGCAGGCGGAAUUCCUGGUGUAGCGGUGAAAUGCGUAGAUAUCAGGAGGAACACCGGUGGCGAAGGCGGCCUGCUGGACUGCGACUGACGUUGAGGCCCGAAAGCGUGGGGAGCAAACAGGAUUAGAUACCCGCGUAGC
rnacentral:rRNA from 1 species